CCUACGGGUGGCUGCAGUAGGGAAUCUUCCGCAAUGGACGAAAGUCUGACGGAGCAACGCCGCGUGAGCGAAGAAGGUCUUCGGAUCGUAAAGCUCUGUUGUUAGGGAAGAACAAGUACGGGAGGAAAUGACCGUACCUUGACGGUACCUAACGAGGAAGCCACGGCUAACUACGUGCCAGCAGCCGCGGUAAUACGUAGGUGGCAAGCGUUGUCCGGAAUUAUUGGGCGUAAAGCGCGCGUAGGCGGCCCUGCAAGUCAGGUGUGAAAACUAUGGGCUUAACUCAUAGAUUGCACUUGAAACUGUGGGGCUUGAGUGAAGUAGAGGCAGGCGGAAUUCCCGGUGUAGCGGUGAAAUGCGUAGAGAUCGGGAAGAACACCAGUGGCGAAGGCGGCCUGCUGGACUUUAACUGACGCUGAGGCACGAAAGCGUGGGUAGCAAACAGGAUUAGAUACCCGGGUAGUC
rnacentral:rRNA from 1 species